UAGCUCAGUUGGUAAAGAAUCUGCCUGCAAUGCAGGAGACCCUGGUUCGAAUCCUGG
rnacentral:tRNA from 1 species